rnacentral:lncRNA from 1 species
GUUGGGAAGGGUGUUUCUGCUCCACUAACGGGAAACCUGUGGAGGGGCGAAGCAUGCAGCGUGCGUCGGCGUUUCCCACAGCAAAAUCACUGCUAAUGGGCAAUGAGAGACACAAGAAAGAUUAGGCACUGAGACCCACAGGCCGCUUUUAGUUAACGUGCACACUGCGAAUUUUUAUUAUUCAAUUACGCACAAGUGAAAUCUCCCAUCGUCACUACAUUGCAGGUCGAGAUCCAGUGCCUAUAUACACAAUGUGGCCUGUGAACGGUUGUGCAGCGCGAGCAGUCG